GGCGGGCCUCCCCGCAUUGCACGGUAGCGAACCUGGUCAGGUCCGGAAGGAAGCAGCCACAGUUAUUCAGUGCAAGUGCCGGGGGUCGGGCUCGCCACCCCUCCC
rnacentral:SRP_RNA from 1 species